UACGUAGGGUGCGAGCGUUGUCCGGAUUUAUUGGGCGUAAAGGGCUCGUAGGCGGCCAACUAAGUCAGACGUGAAAUCCCUCGGCUUAACCGGGGAACUGCAUCUGAUACUGGAUGGCUUGAGUUCGGGAGAGGUAAGCGGAAUUCCUGGUGUAGCGGUGAAAUGCGUAGAUAUCAGGAGGAACACCUGUGGUGUAGACAGCUUACUGGACCACGACUGACGCUGAGACACGAAAGCGUGGGUAGCAAACAGG
rnacentral:rRNA from 1 species